AUUGAACGCUGGCGGCAGGCCUAACACAUGCAAGUCGAGCGGAGCGGCGGACGGGUGGGUAAUGCCUAGGAAUCUGCCUGGUAGUGGGGGAUAACGUCCGGCAACGGGCGCUAAUACCGCAUACUAUCAGAUGAGCCUAGGUCGGAUUAGCUAGUUGGUGGGGUAAAGGCCUACCAAGGAGACGAUCCGUAACUGGUCUGAGAGGAUGAUCAGUCACAAUUGAAAUGAGAAACGGUCCAGAUGCGUCAGGGAGGCAGCAGUGGGGAAUAUUGGACAAUGGGCGAAAGCCUGAUCCAGACAUGCCGCGUGUGUGAAGAAGGUCUUCGGAUUGUAAAGAGCUGUAAGUUGGGAGGCGUUACCAACAGAAUAAGCACCGGCUAACUUCGUGCCAGCAGCCGCGGUAAUAC
rnacentral:rRNA from 1 species